AGACCCUCAAGAGCCCCAGAGGACAACAGCUGCUACCUCUCAGUGUUAUCUGGUUCAACUUUGCCCUUAAUUGAUUGUAACACGCUACAGGAGAUUUCAGUGGACUGCCAUUGCACCCUCUCUCCCCUUGUGUUCUGACACCUCAACCUAGACACCUUAGCUGUGUUUCCGGGAGUUACCGCCUCCCCUAUCUAAAGGGAACUAGCCCUUGGCCCAAGCCAGCCCUGUGCUUUCUUUUGUCCUUUGCCAUGCACAGUGUGGAAGCGCCCUCUCUUCCUGUGCCCCCGUUGGCUUUGGAAGGAUGCACCUGUGUUUAAGGAUUGUCCUUGUAGCCAGCCUUCUCAGUUUGGGAACAACUACAGAGAGAAGCAGCCACAUUAAAAAAAAAAAAAAAGUAGUGUGGUUUCCCAAGAUGGCACCAUUGUGUGACGGAGGGUGUGAAACCUGAGUUUGCCGUCAGCAAAUGGUUUGUGGCUCUCUAGCCGCCUUUGUAGCUAGGUAGAUGCUGCCUGUCCAUGUCUCUGUAUCUUUCUAUAAAUACACUCUCAGGUAUCCUUUCUGGUGUGCAGAAAUCACUGCCCUGCUCUAUGGAAGCUCCUGCAACCCAGAUGUACCCGUGUGGUUCCCAAAGGCUGCCCGUCCAUCAGAUGAAAACAGCCACCUCCGUCUCACUUCCUGGGGUCUGAAGUCUGUGGUUUUGGAGAGACCUGCUUGGGUAGAGAGACUUAGGGUGGAAUGGGGGUAGCCACUGAGCAGCAUCCUUGACAGAAUAGGUUUUUAUCAGACAAGGGUCCAGGGGACCAAAAAAGGUUUACUGUCAAAUAGUUGGGGCCCCAACAAAACUCAGAUUACACUCCCAGGUUUAAUUAUUUGAGGAGGGCUCAACGGGGAUGGCUGCCAACACUGGAGCAAAGACUGGGAGGCAGCAGAACCCAGACCAUCACUGAGCUACCACUGUACCUAGCUCCAUACAUGAAGGGUGAAGAUCGAGAGGCACCUAGGAGCCAUGGCAUUCAUUCAGAGAGCAUAGCAGGCUGUGUGAAUGAAUGAAUGAAUGAAUGAAUGAAUGAAUGAAUGAAUGAAUAAAUGAAUUUAUCCAGGGGAUGAAUGCCCCUAUACCCUCC
rnacentral:lncRNA from 1 species